rnacentral:misc_RNA from 1 species
GAUGAAGAACGUAGCGAAAUGCGAUAAGUAAUGUGAAUUGCAGAAUUCAGUGAAUCAUCGAAUCUUUGAACGCACAUUGCGCCCGCCAGUAUUCUGGCGGGCAUGCCUGUUCGAGCGUCAUUUCAACCAUCAAGCCCCCGGCUUGUGUUGGGGACCUGCGGCUGCCGCAGGCCCUGAAAAGCAGUGGCGGGCUCGCUGUCACACCGAGCGUAGUAGCAUACAACUCGCUCUGGGCGUGCUGCGGGUUCCGGCCGUAAAACCACCUUCAUAACCCAAGGUUGACCUCGGAUCAGGUAGGAAGACCCGCUGAACUUAAGCAUAUCAAUAAGCGGAGGA